rnacentral:rRNA from 1 species
GAUGAACGCUGGCGGCGUGCCUAAUACAUGCAAGUCGAGCGAACGGACGAGAAGCUUGCUUCUCUGAUGUUAGCGGCGGACGGGUGAGUAACACGUGGAUAACCUACCUAUAAGACUGGGAUAACUUCGGGAAACCGGAGCUAAUACCGGAUAAUAUUUUGAACCGCAUGGUUCAAAAGUGAAAGACGGUCUUGCUGUCACUUAUAGAUGUAUCGGGGCUUAUUUAGUUAGUUGGUAAGGUAACGCCUUACCAAGGCAACGAUGCAUAGCCGACCUGAGAGGGUGAUCGGCCACACUGGAACUGAGACACGGUCAAGACUCCUACGGGAGGCGGCAGUAGGGAAUCUUCCGCAAUGGCCGAAAGCCUGACGGAGCACCGCCGCGUGAGUGAUGAAGGUCUUCGGAUCUUAAAACUCUUUUAUUAGGGAAGAAGAUAUGUGUAAGUAAAUGUGCACAUCUUGACGGUACCUAAUCAGAAAGCCACGGCUAACUACGUG